rnacentral:rRNA from 1 species
GGGUUGUGAGGUUAAGCGACUAAGCGUACACGGUGGAUGCCCUGGCAGUCAGAGGCGAUGAAGGACGUGCUAAUCUGCGAAAAGCGUCGGUAAGGUGAUAUGAACCGUUAUAGCCGGCGAUGUCCGAAUGGGGAAACCCAGUGCAAUUCGUUGCACUAUCGUUAACUGAAUACAUAGGUUAACGAGGCGAACCGGGGGAACUGAAACAUCUAAGUACCCCGAGGAAAAGAAAUCAACCGAGAUUCCCCCAGUAGCGGCGAGCGAACGGGGAGCAGCCCAGAGUCUGAAUCAGCUUGUGUGUUAGUGGAACGGUCUGGAAAGUCCGACGGUACAGGGUGAUAGUCCCGUACACCAAAAUGCACAGGUUGUGAACUCGAAGAGUAGGGCGGGACACGUGGUAUCCUGUCUGAAUAUGGGGGGACCAUCCUCCAAGGCUAAAUACUCCUGACUGACCGAUAGUGAACCAGUACCGUGAGGGAAAGGCGAAAAGAACCCCGGCGAGGGGAGUGAAAAAGAACCUGAAACCGUGUACGUACAAGCAGUGGGAGCACCUUCGGGUGUGACUGCGUACCUUUUGUAUAAUGGGUCAGCGACUUAUAUUCUGUAGCAAGGUUAACCGUAUAGGGGAGCCGCAGGGAAACCGAGUCUUAACUGGGCGUUAAGUUGCAGGGUAUAGACCCGAAACCCGGUGAUCUAGCCAUGGGCAGGUUGAAGGUUGGGUAACACUAACUGGAGGACCGAACCGACUAAUGUUGAAAAAUUAGCGGAUGACUUGUGGCUGGGGGUGAAAGGCCAAUCAAACCGGGAGAUAGCUGGUUCUCCCCGAAAGCUAUUUAGGUAGCGCCUCGUGAAUUCAUCUUCGGGGGUAGAGCACUGUUUCGGCUAGGGGGUCAUCCCGACUUACCAACCCGAUGCAAACUACGAAUACCGAAGAAUGUUAUCACGGGAGACACACGGCGGGUGCUAACGUCCGUCGUGAAGAGGGAAACAACCCAGACCGCCAGCUAAGGUCCCAAAGUCAUGGUUAAGUGGGAAACGAUGUGGGAAGGCACAGACAGCCAGGAUGUUGGCUUAGAAGCAGCCAUCAUUUAAAGAAAGCGUAAUAGCUCACUGGUCGAGUCGGCCUGCGCGGAAGAUGUAACGGGGCUAAACCAUGCACCGAAGCUGCGGCAGCGACACUAUGUGUUGUUGGGUAGGGGAGCGUUCUGUAAGCCUGCGAAGGUGUGCUGUGAGGCAUGCUGGAGGUAUCAGAAGUGCGAAUGCUGACAUAAGUAACGAUAAAGCGGGUGAAAAGCCCGCUCGCCGGAAGACCAAGGGUUCCUGUCCAACGUUAAUCGGGGCAGGGUGAGUCGACCCCUAAGGCGAGGCCGAAAGGCGUAGUCGAUGGGAAACAGGUUAAUAUUCCUGUACUUGGUGUUACUGCGAAGGGGGGACGGAGAAGGCUAUGUUAGCCGGGCGACGGUUGUCCCGGUUUAAGCAUGUAGGCUGGUUAUCCAGGCAAAUCCGGAUAAUCAAGGCUGAGGUGUGAUGACGAGGCACUACGGUGCUGAAGUAACAAAUGCCCUGCUUCCAGGAAAAGCCUCUAAGCAUCAGGUAACAUCAAAUCGUACCCCAAACCGACACAGGUGGUCAGGUAGAGAAUACCAAGGCGCUUGAGAGAACUCGGGUGAAGGAACUAGGCAAAAUGGUGCCGUAACUUCGGGAGAAGGCACGCUGGUGUGUAGGUGAAGUCCCUGCGGAUGGAGCUGAGACCAGUCGAAGAUACCAGCUGGCUGCAACUGUUUAUUAAAAACACAGCACUGUGCAAACACGAAAGUGGACGUAUACGGUGUGACGCCUGCCCGGUGCCGGAAGGUUAAUUGAUGGGGUUAUCCGUAAGGAGAAGCUCUUGAUCGAAGCCCCGGUAAACGGCGGCCGUAACUAUAACGGUCCUAAGGUAGCGAAAUUCCUUGUCGGGUAAGUUCCGACCUGCACGAAUGGCGUAAUGAUGGCCAGGCUGUCUCCACCCGAGACUCAGUGAAAUUGAACUCGCUGUGAAGAUGCAGUGUACCCGCGGCAAGACGGAAAGACCCCGUGAACCUUUACUAUAGCUUGACACUGAACAUUGAGCCUUGAUGUGUAGGAUAGGUGGGAGGCUUUGAAGCGUGGACGCCAGUCUGCGUGGAGCCAACCUUGAAAUACCACCCUUUAAUGUUUGAUGUUCUAACGUUGGCCCCUUAUCGGGGUUGCGGACAGUGUCUGGUGGGUAGUUUGACUGGGGCGGUCUCCUCCCAAAGCGUAACGGAGGAGCACGAAGGUUAGCUAAUCCUGGUCGGACAUCAGGAGGUUAGUGCAAUGGCAUAAGCUAGCUUGACUGCGAGCGUGACGGCGCGAGCAGGUGCGAAAGCAGGUCAUAGUGAUCCGGUGGUUCUGAAUGGAAGGGCCAUCGCUCAACGGAUAAAAGGUACUCCGGGGAUAACAGGCUGAUACCGCCCAAGAGUUCAUAUCGACGGCGGUGUUUGGCACCUCGAUGUCGGCUCAUCACAUCCUGGGGCUGAAGUAGGUCCCAAGGGUAUGGCUGUUCGCCAUUUAAAGUGGUACGCGAGCUGGGUUUAGAACGUCGUGAGACAGUUCGGUCCCUAUCUGCCGUGGGCGCUGGAGAAUUGAGGGGGGCUGCUCCUAGUACGAGAGGACCGGAGUGGACGCAUCACUGGUGUUCGGGUUGUCAUGCCAAUGGCACUGCCCGGUAGCUAAAUGCGGAAGAGAUAAGUGCUGAAAGCAUCUAAGCACGAAACUUGCCCCGAGAUGAGUUCUCCCUGAGACUUUAAGUCUCCUGAAGGAACGUUGAAGACGACGACGUUGAUAGGCCGGGUGUGUAAGCGCAGCGAUGCGUUGAGCUAACCGGUACUAAUGAACCGUGAGGCUUAACCUUACAACGCCGAAG